UAGACUGAGGAUCUGGUGAUGCU
rnacentral:piRNA from 1 species